AGCAGAGUAGUCUAGUGGAAAGAACAUCCGACUGAGAGUCAGGAGACCUGAGCUUUAAUCUCAGCUCUGCCA
rnacentral:tRNA from 1 species